UCCCGUGGCCGCAGCCGCGUGUGGGAAUCCUGGUCACCCGCCCACCCGCCCGGAGGGUCUGUAGGAAGCGGUUGGCUGGGGCGGCUCUGCGGGGGGCCAUGCGGGGCGGAGCCCUGUUGCUGCCAGCAUGGACACAGCAGCCCCGACUGCUCAGUUUGUGGCUUCAUCGUCUCAGCCGAGGCCUCCUCUCUGACUCACAUCCUCAGAGGAAGGCUCUCCAAUGCUCCAGUAUAGAAGGACAUAUAUCCCCCCUGCCCACUACCCGUCGGCCAGGACACGGCCCUGCCUGACUCCAGGGGGGAUGAGGUCUGGCGAGAAGGCAUCAUCUUCCCACACAGUGGAAGGAGGUCUGCAGUUCCUGGUCAGGGGCUGGUGAGGUGAAGUGGAUCAGAUCGUCCUCUCCCUCUGAUGCGAAACAUCCCCAGAACCAACCUACGUCCACGCGUGCCCUUCCUCAGCUACAUCACCCACAGCCCUCGUGGGUGCUCCAAAGAGCCUUCUUGGUUUCCCAUCAGGAGCUCCAAUAUCGAGGGUCCUAGUGUCUUUGCUGAGCCAAACUCCCUCUGGGGCAUGUUUCAGGCCCAGUUCCUCUCAAAGGUGAUUCCUAGAAACCUCUACUCUGAAGGCUUCUUUUUCAACCAAGCCUCCAGCACAUCCUCACAACUCCCUAAGAACACUCAGAAGCCACUCCUCUCACAGUCGACAACACCACCAAAGCUCCUGAAUGUGAGGCAGGAGGCUGCAAGGCUAGGUCUUCAUGGUGAAGAGAGCAAAGAAGACAGACACACCAGAUUUCAUUCGCAGAAUGACCUUCGUUGA
rnacentral:lncRNA from 1 species